rnacentral:rRNA from 1 species
GAUGAACGCUGGCGGCGUGCUUAACACAUGCAAGUCGAACGUGAAGAAGCAGCAAUGUUUCUGAAAGUGGCGGACGGGUGAGUAACACGUGGGUGACCUGCCUCAAAGUGGGGGAUAACCAGGGGAAACCGUGGCUAAUACCGCAUGGGCUUACACCGAUGGGAAUGGUGUGGGUAAAAUUUUGGUGCUUUGAGAGGGGCCUGCGUCCGAUUAGCUAGUUGGUGAGGUAAUGGCUCACCAAGGCGAUGAUCGGUAGCUGGUCUGAGAGGACGAUCAGCCACACGGGAACUGAGAAACGGUCCCGACUCCUACGGGGGGCAGCAGUGAGGAAUAUUGGGCAAUGGGCAAACGCCUGACCCAGCAACGCCGCGUGGAGGAUGAAGGUUUUUGGAUUGUAAACUCCUUUUGUGGGGAAGAGUGAGGACGGUACCCCAAGAAUAAGUCACGGCUAACUACGUGCCAGCAGCCGCGGUAAGUCUCGCGUGA